AUUAAUAUAGUUUAAAUAAAACAUUAUAUUUUCAUUAUAAAAUCAAAUAAUAUUUUAUUAAUA
rnacentral:tRNA from 1 species